rnacentral:rRNA from 1 species
GCUUACGGCCAUACCACCCUGGAAAUGCCAGAUCUCAUCUGAACUCGGAAGUAAAGCAGGGUCGGGCCCGGUUAGUACUUGGAUGGGAGACCGCCUGGGAAUACCAGGUGCUGUAAGCU